UCUGUGUGAUGCUUUUGUCGGGGACAGAACAGGAAUGGAGUCUUAGAAUUUAUGUGCUGAAGAAGAAAGUCCAAGUGAUCAUCUCUGAAAUAAUCCCACUAGCAAAGGAAGACAGAAGGCAAAAGAUUCUGGAAGUGAACCACUGGCUAGUCUCUCAUUGCCAUUUUAGCCACUGAUUUUUAUAUCCCUGGAAUGCCAGUAGCUUCCUCUCCCUGCCUGCAGUUUCUGCUCUUGGAUAGUAGGCACUUGCACAUCUUCAGGGGAAAUGCAUGUAAUCAGAAGCAAGGGGGGUAGGAAGACCCACCUCCAGCAGGCAAGGAUAAUGAGAGUCUGAGAAGAGCUAAUGGGAGAGCUUUUAGAUAAAACAAAUCAGCAGAUGGAGUUUCAGAAAGACCAAAUUGAUUACCAAAAGGAUAAGUAUUUCUGCAGUGUGGAAAGAGACAGAGGUUGCACAGCAUGACGAAAGAUUGGAGGACAGAUUAAUAGAGCAUAUCCACAGGUUGAGGGACGAAGACAGCGCAGCACAAGUUGAUGUUCGAGCUAUUACUUGCACUCAUGGCUACCAGACUGCAGCCUCCAGCUCCUGCUCCUACCCCGACUCCCCUCCAUGCUGUCAUGCCCUGCAGACUAUACAUCCUUUGCACAUUUCAGAGGUUGACUGGACCAUGUCCCAGGCAAUGAACAGUAGCACAUGGAACUGACAAAUGUACCCUGUGCAUUCAUCCACUCCAAUCCAAUCAAGGCCUACACAUGCAAAAUGCACCAGAAAGGCCAAGGAGAACAGAAGGACAGGGAAACCCAAGAAUAGCUGGGCAUGUAAUUUAGGAACAUUCAUCUUUCACUGUUUUGUCACUGAGUUUGUUUACUGUGCUGUAUGUUUUGAUGAUAGUUGGUCUGCCUUUCUGCUUCUUACACUGGCAUGUAAAUACUGUGUAAAAUAAAGUGUUGAAUCUGGACAUAA